UUCAACACCCUGUGUGAUCAGGUCCCAGUUUACCCAUUCACCUUAUUCUAAGAUCCAGUUUCACAGACCUUAAUUUUAUUUUUAAAAUUAUGAAAAUGUUUAAACAGACUGAAAGAUAACAAAGAAUCCAUAUAACCAUUUUCCAAAGUAAACAAGAUCUGCAUCUCUAAAAAAAAUAUGAACAUCUUACUUAUUUCCAUCUUCUUUUAUCUAGCCAGGUUAACAUAGUUUCUAAGGUAAGAUGGUGCGUCCAAUGCCCAGCCUUGGAGAAACAAUUUCGUUGGGCUUGUCAUUCUAUAAAUCGGUAUAACAGCAAUAUAUACCUCAUAUUAUUGUCAUGGUGAAUACAUGAAUUCAUACAUUUAAAAAGCUUGCAACAGUGUUUGGCAUACAGUACAUACUUAAUAAGUGAAGCCAUUAUCAUUUAGGAAAAGCCACACACCUCCCUACCUCAAAGCCCUGGCACAAACUAUAAACACAAUUCUUCUCUUGCCCUCUCAGACGGUUUAAUGCAGUUAUUUGAAAUUAGUAACUUUUGAGGCUGAUUAACCCAUUACACUAGGAGGAAGCACCAAGAGGGGAAAGGAUGAUUUCUGUUUGGCUGUUUUACUUUUACUAAACUUAUUGGGGUGACAUUAGUCAAUAACAUUAUAUAAUUUUGGCUGUUUUAAAUUUCCAACAAUACAAAGUUCAUCUAAUUUAUUUUGGAUCACAUUCUCUAUCAACACGUAUGUAGCUAAUUAUGAUAAAUUUAAU